rnacentral:rRNA from 1 species
GAUGAACGCUGGCGGCGCGCCUAAUACAUGCAAAUCGAGCGAACAGACGAGGAGCUUGCUCCUCUGACGUUAGCGGCGGACGGGUGAGUAACACGUGGAUAACCUACCUAUAAGACUGGGAUAACUUCGGGAAACCGGAGCUAAUACCGGAUAAUAUAUUGAACCGCAUGGUUCAAUAGUGAAAGACGGUUUUGCUGUCACUUAUAGAUGGAUCCGCGCCGCAUUAGCUAGUUGGUAAGGUAACGGCUUACCAAGGCAACGAUGCGUAGCCGACCUGAGAGGGUGAUCGGCCACACUGGAACUGAGACACGGUCCAGACUCCUACGGGAGGCAGCAGUAGGGAAUCUUCCGCAAUGGGCGAAAGCCUGACGGAGCAACGCCGCGUGAGUGAUGAAGGUCUUCGGAUCGUAAAACUCUGUUAUUAGGGAAGAACAAAUGUGUAAGUAACUAUGCACGUCUUGACGGUACCUAAUCAGAAAGCCACGGCUAACUACGUG